UCCGCUUGGAGGCCAGCGCGAUCUAGGUGUGGUCAGGAUCCGGCUCAUCCUUUGGAGAGAGAGCACCUGCCCGGGGGCCCCUCUGAGGUGCAUAGUCGUGCAGUGCCCUCACAGGAUGCCCGGUCCUCCGAGAACUUCCUGCCAUUCCCCUGGACCCUCAGAAGUGGCUUCGUUGUGGAAAUGAUGUUAUUGCAGGCACCUAGAAUUUUAUCUCCUUCACUUCUACAAUGGGAAGCAAUUCUCCAACAAGCACAGGAAUCUGACUUUCUGAUAUUGAGACUCCUAGGCAUCAAGCCCCGUGGAAGGACAUCCACACGGAAGUUGUCCAGGCGGCUCUGGCCAAACCCAAAGAGCAGAAGAUGGCCGGUGCCUAUGCCUUCCAAACGCAGGUCCCUGGUCGUGCAGACCUCCAUGGACGCCUACACCCCUCCAGGUAAGGGACACGCUCCCCGACGCUGCCUCCUGAACAUGCUGGGUGCCUCAGAAUUGACCACUAGCCCAGUAGUCGAGUUUUUGCCUUCAAAAGUGGGUGCAGGAUGGGAGCUCUCCACAGAUCCACACCAGCAGCGAAUCAAUCCAAGCCUGCCCAUGUCACGAUGA
rnacentral:lncRNA from 1 species